rnacentral:rRNA from 1 species
AGCAAACGCUGGCGGCAGGCCUAACACAUGCAAGUCGAACGAACCCUUCGGGGUUAGUGGCGGACGGGUGAGUAACACGUGGGAACGUGCCUUUAGGUUCGGAAUAACUCAGGGAAACUUGUGCUAAUACCGAAUGUGCCCUUCGGGGGAAAGAUUUAUCGCCUUUAGAGCGGCCCGCGGCUGAUUAGCUAGCUGGUGAGGUAAUGGCUCACCAAGGCUACGAUCAGUAGCUGGUCUGAGAGGAUGACCAGCCACAUUGGGACUGAGACACGGCCCAAACUCCUACGGGAGGCGGCAGUGGGGAAUCUUGCGCAAUGGGCGAAAGCCUGACGCAGCCAUGCCGCGUGGAUGAUGAAGGUCUUAGGAUUGUAAAAUCCUUUCACCGGUGAAGAUAAUGACUGUAGCCGGAGAAGAAGCCCCGGCUAACUUCGUGCCAGCAGCCGCCGUAACAC